GGUAGCGUGGCCGAGUGGUCUAAGGCGCUGGUUUUAGGCACCAGUCUCUGAGGGGCGUGGGUUCGAAUCCCACCGCUGCCA
rnacentral:tRNA from 1 species